UGUGUGGUUAUCUUGCGGUUUUUAGAAACAGGCAAACGAAGGGGUUUUGUGAGGGGAGUAGAGGAGAAUUUGGCUUAUGGAAAAAAGUUGUGUUUGAGAGACAAAUAUUGGGUAUUAAGGCAUGGAAAAUGGGAUCAAGGAAGAAUAUCAAUUGGCUGAUGAAGGUGUUAUUCAGGCACAAUUGGCUGGAGAAUUGUUCCUUAAGCAUUUGUGGAUGAUAUAGAGAACAAAAGCCAAAGAUUUCUAGGAUGCUGCUGCAGAGAUAAUUGACGCAUGAGAGAAAGUUUGAGGAGAGAAUCGGAGAAGCCAAAAUAAAAGUUGCUGGAUAUAGUUACAGAGGAUGGUUUGACAAAAGUUUUUGAAUAAAUAAGGAAAAAGCAGAGUAAAAGACUCAACCAUUUGGUAAUGAGAGUGGAGCCUCUGUGAAGGGAGCUGGCACUUGGCAGCAUACAAGGGCAUAUCAUUUUAUGUUUGGCAUCAAACUUCUUAUUUUAUGCUUUUCUGAAUUCAUUUUGCCAGUGAUAUUAAGGUUGGCAGUACAAAUAAGGAGACAGCUACAAUUUCUAAGGGCUUGAAAGAAUUCUUAUCCCAUAGUAUUUGGCGUUCUUAAUCUACUGUUUCUGAUUUUCCCCUCCCUUAACAAAUUUAAGAAUCUGGCUAACUGUAUAGUCUGUGCAGGAAUUGAAAGAGAGCAGCAUACCACUUUAAAGUGUUCGCAUCUGCUACUCGCCAUUUGCAAGAACAAGUCACAGUGCCAAAAUUGGUGCUUCUGUUUUGAAUCUCCCAUUUUAAGGCUCUCAAUGUAAAGUGAGUUAUCUAUAUCAUAUAACAUUCAUUUUUUUAGGGCAUCUGCUGCACUUGUAGUGCUUGAAAAGUUGCGUUCUCCUUGAUGUAAAGUGAGUUAUCAAAAAACUGUGGUUGUAAGUAUGAGUUAAGGUCAAUGAGUUUUUUCUCCC